rnacentral:rRNA from 1 species
AGCGUACACGGUGGAUGCCCUGGCAGUCAGAGGCGAUGAAGGACGUGCUAAUCUGCGAUAAGCGUCGGUAAGGUGAUAUGAACCGUUAUAACCGGCGAUUUCCGAAUGGGGAAACCCAGUGUGUUUCGACACACUAUCAUUAACUGAAUCCAUAGGUUAAUGAGGCGAACCGGGGGAACUGAAACAUCUAAGUACCCCGAGGAAAAGAAAUCAACCGAGAUUCCCCCAGUAGCGGCGAGCGAACGGGGAGGAGCCCAGAGCCUGAAUCAGUGUGUGUGUUAGUGGAAGCGUCUGGAAAGGCGCGCGAUACAGGGUGACAGCCCCGUACACAAAAAUGCACAUAUUGUGAGCUCGAUGAGUAGGGCGGGACACGUGGUAUCCUGUCUGAAUAUGGGGGGACCAUCCUCCAAGGCUAAAUACUCCUGACUGACCGAUAGUGAACCAGUACCGUGAGGGAAAGGCGAAAAGAACCCCGGCGAGGGGAGUGAAAAAGAACCUGAAACCGUGUACGUACAAGCAGUGGGAGCACGCUUAGGCGUGUGACUGCGUACCUUUUGUAUAAUGGGUCAGCGACUUAUAUUCUGUAGCAAGGUUAACCGAAUAGGGGAGCCGAAGGGAAACCGAGUCUUAACUGGGCGUUAAGUUGCAGGGUAUAGACCCGAAACCCGGUGAUCUAGCCAUGGGCAGGUUGAAGGUUGGGUAACACUAACUGGAGGACCGAACCGACUAAUGUUGAAAAAUUAGCGGAUGACUUGUGGCUGGGGGUGAAAGGCCAAUCAAACCCGGAGAUAGCUGGUUCUCCCCGAAAGCUAUUUAGGUAGCGCCUCGUGAAUUCAUCUCCGGGGGUAGAGCACUGUUUCGGCAAGGGGGUCAUCCCGACUUACCAACCCGAUGCAAACUGCGAAUACCGGAGAAUGUUAUCACGGGAGACACACGGCGGGUGCUAACGUCCGUCGUGAAGAGGGAAACAACCCAGACCGCCAGCUAAGGUCCCAAAGUCAUGGUUAAGUGGGAAACGAUGUGGGAAGGCCCAGACAGCCAGGAUGUUGGCUUAGAAGCAGCCAUCAUUUAAAGAAAGCGUAAUAGCUCACUGGUCGAGUCGGCCUGCGCGGAAGAUGUAACGGGGCUAAACCAUGCACCGAAGCUGCGGCAGCGACACUAUGUGUUGUUGGGUAGGGGAGCGUUCUGUAAGCCGUUGAAGGUGGCCUGUGAGGGUUGCUGGAGGUAUCAGAAGUGCGAAUGCUGACAUAAGUAACGAUAAAGCGGGUGAAAAGCCCGCUCGCCGGAAGACCAAGGGUUCCUGUCCAACGUUAAUCGGGGCAGGGUGAGUCGACCCCUAAGGCGAGGCCGAAAGGCGUAGUCGAUGGGAAACAGGUUAAUAUUCCUGUACUUGGUGUUACUGCGAAGGGGGGACGGAGAAGGCUAUGUUGGCCGGGCGACGGUUGUCCCGGUUUAAGCGUGUAGGCUGGUUUUCCAGGCAAAUCCGGAAAAUCAAGGCUGAGGCGUGAUGACGAGGCACUACGGUGCUGAAGCAACAAAUGCCCUGCUUCCAGGAAAAGCCUCUAAGCAUCAGGUAACAUCAAAUCGUACCCCAAACCGACACAGGUGGUCAGGUAGAGAAUACCAAGGCGCUUGAGAGAACUCGGGUGAAGGAACUAGGCAAAAUGGUGCCGUAACUUCGGGAGAAGGCACGCUGAUAUGUAGGUGAAGUCCCUCGCGGAUGGAGCUGAAAUCAGUCGAAGAUACCAGCUGGCUGCAACUGUUUAUUAAAAACACAGCACUGUGCAAACACGAAAGUGGACGUAUACGGUGUGACGCCUGCCCGGUGCCGGAAGGUUAAUUGAUGGGGUUAUCCGUAAGGAGAAGCUCUUGAUCGAAGCCCCGGUAAACGGCGGCCGUAACUAUAACGGUCCUAAGGUAGCGAAAUUCCUUGUCGGGUAAGUUCCGACCUGCACGAAUGGCGUAAUGAUGGCCAGGCUGUCUCCACCCGAGACUCAGUGAAAUUGAACUCGCUGUGAAGAUGCAGUGUACCCGCGGCAAGACGGAAAGACCCCGUGAACCUUUACUAUAGCUUGACACUGAACAUUGAGCCUUGAUGUGUAGGAUAGGUGGGAGGCUUUGAAGUGUGGACGCCAGUCUGCAUGGAGCCGACCUUGAAAUACCACCCUUUAAUGUUUGAUGUUCUAACGUUGACCCGUAAUCCGGGUUGCGGACAGUGUCUGGUGGGUAGUUUGACUGGGGCGGUCUCCUCCUAAAGAGUAACGGAGGAGCACGAAGGUUGGCUAAUCCUGGUCGGACAUCAGGAGGUUAGUGCAAUGGCAUAAGCCAGCUUGACUGCGAGCGUGACGGCGCGAGCAGGUGCGAAAGCAGGUCAUAGUGAUCCGGUGGUUCUGAAUGGAAGGGCCAUCGCUCAACGGAUAAAAGGUACUCCGGGGAUAACAGGCUGAUACCGCCCAAGAGUUCAUAUCGACGGCGGUGUUUGGCACCUCGAUGUCGGCUCAUCACAUCCUGGGGCUGAAGUAGGUCCCAAGGGUAUGGCUGUUCGCCAUUUAAAGUGGUACGCGAGCUGGGUUUAGAACGUCGUGAGACAGUUCGGUCCCUAUCUGCCGUGGGCGCUGGAGAAUUGAGGGGGGCUGCUCCUAGUACGAGAGGACCGGAGUGGACGCAUCACUGGUGUUCGGGUUGUCAUGCCAAUGGCACUGCCCGGUAGCUAAAUGCGGAAGAGAUAAGUGCUGAAAGCAUCUAAGCACGAAACUUGCCCCGAGAUGAGUUCU